UUAAUUUGAAGUCAAAAAGACUUAAUUUUGUAGUUGAAAUCUGACUUUGGGAAGCUUGUCAAAUAUGUCAAAGAUUUAAAACACUUGCCAAAAAGAUGUCUUAAAAUAGACUAAAUUUGGUCCAAGGUGGUCUAGGUACUUUGAAAUCCUACGCAGCAAACUGCAGCCUAACUUCAUAUAUAAACAAACUGCAACUUAAUUUAAGGAUAUAUUCUAGUAAGGAGUAGCUAAGUCCCAGCCAAUCAUAACAGCCAAACUUCAGCCAAUCACAGGCUACCAACUGA